GACGAACGCUGGCGGCGUGCUUAACACAUGCAAUUCGAACGGAAGGGCCUUCUUUUGUUGGGUGCUUGAGUUGCGAACCGGUGAGUAACCCGUUAGUAACCUUCCCUUGACUUUGGGAUUACUUUAGGAAACUUGGGCCAAUUCCGGAUAGGAGCUCCCGCUGCAUUGUGGGGGUUGGAAAGUUUCGGCGGUUGGGGAUGGACUCGCGGCUUAUCAGCUUGUUGGUGGGGUAGUGGCUUACCAAGGCUUUGACGGGUAGCCGGCCUGAGGGGGUGACCGGCCACAUUGGGACUGAGAUACGGCCCAGACUCCUACGGGAGGCAGCAGUGGGGAAUAUUGCACAAUGGGCGGAAGCCUGAUGCAGCAACGCCGCGUGCGGGAUGACGGCCUUCGGGUUGUAAACCGCUUUCGCCUGUGACGAAGCGUGAGUGACGGUAAUGGGUAAAGAAGCACCGGCUAACUACGUG
rnacentral:rRNA from 1 species